AGGGAAAUAUUUAGUGAAGAAGUCUCGCAGAACAGAUGUAGAAGACUUGACUCCAAAUCCAAGAAAAUUACUGCAGAUUGGGAAUGAGCUUAGAAAACUAAACAAGGUGAUUAGUGAUCUGACACCUGUAAGUGAACUGCCAUUAACUGCCAGACCAAGGUCCAGAAAAGAGAAGAACAAACUUGCGUCCAGUUGAAUAGGCUACCUAUCCUUGGGAUGUGGAGUGUACCUUUUCAGAAAAUGAUGACUACCUUAUUCUAAGGGGCUUGUCGCUUAAAGAAAAAGGCUCAGUACGAGGCUAACAAAGUAAAACUAUGGGGUCUGAAUACUGAAUAUGAUCAUCUGCUUUAUGUGAUUAACUCAAUAAAACAGGAAAUAGUAAAUAGAGUACAGAGUCCGGGAGAGAAAGGAAGUGGAAGCAUCCUAGAAAAACUUGAAAAUCUCUUAAAUGAGACACUUGGGACAACAGUAGCUGGACAAACAUCUGACUUUGUCAAUCAAGUUUUAGAAAAAACAGGAGAAGGAGACCCAACAGGUGGUCUUGAAGGUCUUCGAGUACCUACAUCAAAAGUGUAACAUGAUACGCUCUGUCAGAAGCAGCUUCAGCCUAUAGUUACAUGUUUGCCAUUUCUGUGAUAAAUGUUUGAUUCAUUAUAGCAAAUGACAUUUUGUUAGUUGUGUUAAACCUGCUUGAAAAAGAGAGGGAAAACUCAUGUUGACAUAUUAGAGUUCUAUAAAAAGAAAUGCACAUUGAGAUAAGUAUGGUUAUGUGCGCUCAGGUACUAAUGAGGUAAAUUUCACUUACCUAUAAAAUGAGCUAGGGAUUGAUGUGUUCUAAAAUGUUGGUAGGAACUUAUGUUAAGUUUCCAUAGAAAAGUGGAUGUAGUAGUUGAAUCAAGAAAUCAAGAAAAUUAGUUUGUAAUUCUUUUUAAAGUUAACCGCUGUUGCAGAAUUUUUUUCCAUUAGUAACAUUAUAUAUUCCUUUUGUAUAUACUAUAUAUUCUUGUAUUAUUAAGUAUGUGUUAAAUAGUUAAUAUAGUGAAUUACAUGGCCUUUUCCAGACAUUGUGUGAGUAUUUAAGUUUGAGACAGGAGUAAUAUUCUUUGUGCCUUGUAUUUAAAUGAAAGUCAAGAUGUAAGGUGUAAUGGAUAUACAGUGGGUAAAUUUUAUGGAUUUUAAAAAAGUAUUCAUUUAUUUUCACUCUUUGGCUGUUUAAACCAUUAUGAAUGUAUAUAGGAAUAUUUCAGCAAUGUAGAUAUAUGCCACAGAGUCUGUAUUGUAUAAAGAUGGUUAUUGAAACAUGAGUUUCGGUACUUUUCAGAAAUAUUUGCACACUAUUUUGUACCAAAGACAAAUGCAACUAUAUGGCAUAAUGCCAGUGAAGUAAGGUUUUGCACAGCUUACACUGAUACAAAAUUGAAUGUAAUCAGGGUUGGGGUUAGGGUUUUACUAGAACUGUGAAAUAUGUUGUGUGGGUCCAAAUAGCCACAAAAAGAGGAUGCAAGUACACUUUAUCUGAUUUUGAUCCUAUAAACUAUUGUUAAGCUUCUAGAAAAUCAGAUAUCUUGUCUUCUGCAGAUGUAGAUGCAUAACAAAAGAAUGUAAUUUAUUUGUAGUUCUGUGUUAACAUUUCAGUGUAAUAUAGUGGCUUGCAAUUGUUACAUUAAAAAAGAUAAAUGCAUGUAUGUGGUACACUCUUGAAGGCAAAUAACCAAAAUUUGAUUUUAACAAUUUGUACAAUUGUAUAAAUGUACAUUGCCUCCCAAUUCUAAAAUUGCUAAGUUGCCACUUUUUCCAUUUAAUGUAGUAAUGUGCAUGUCAGAUUUCUAAAUGUUACUUGAUAGGAUGUAAAAAGUACUUCUAAAGCAAUAUAUUUUUGUAUUCUCAAUUAAGUAACCAAAAUAGUUAUUGUAAAAGGUAAAUAUCUAAAUUCUGUUGAUCCUUUUUGCUCAUUUGGUGUAGCUUUUCAAUUAGGACAGUAUAAAUAGACCAACAUGAGUUUUAGCUUUUAUUUUCAUAUUCAUUAGUAGUAACUGGAUUGAAAAGUUAUGUCACUUUGGUUAGGUUACAGAUCUAAAAGUUACUUCACAUGUUAGUGGGUUCAAUAAUAGUGAAGUGCUGAUUGCUGAGUGGUAUUGGACGUCAGAGUUUAACAUUAACAUCCAUCCUAUAUACUGCUGGCAGCUGUAGAAGUGCAGUUUGACCUUAUUUUUGGGUUUCUUUGUAAAUAAAAAAGCUUAUUAAUUGAUAACACUUUUUUUUUAUUUUAUGGAUAAUAGAAUUGCACUUUGUCACCAUUGCAUUUGUAUUCCUGCCAUUUGCUGCUACUCCUGACCUGUAAGAUUGCUACAGUGAUACUUGAUUUAUACCUGCUAGUAAAAUGUAUAGUUACUCUUGGGUAACAAAAUGAAAGCAAGCUGUGCAGCUUUACAUUUUACCAGGGGACUCUGUGGCAUUAAAUAGUCUAGAAAUGGUUGUAAUUUGAUGCCAGUAAUAUCUUGCUUCCUUUUUCAUAAGUAUUUUAAUGUAUGCUAAUAUAUAAAAUAACUUCUAAAAAGAGAGAUGUAUAAUGUCCUAUUUGGAAUUUUGACAGACUGAGCAUGUUAAGUGUUCUUGGAAUGAUUGAUUUAUUCUUGUCAUAAGUUCUGAAACAACAGAUCUGUAAAACUCUCCAGUUAGAAAGUACCUUGUAGCACUGAAAAGCUACAUUUUAUGAAUUUGAAUUGUCCAGUUCCAUUUUCAGAUUUAUUAUGUCUUUUUCUUCUGGCACAAUUGCAACAAUUUUUACAAUGCAGGUCUUAAAUGGAUUCUGCCACUUUAUCCCAAACCAUCAAUUUGGAUAAUUCAAAGGGAUGACUUUUUGAAAUCGAUUAGUUUUGGAUACGGAAAAGAACAUGGGUCCCAAAAUCAGAUUUAAAAAUGUAUGGUAAAAUGCUGUAUAUUCUGAGUAAAACUGAUCCAUUCAGAAAGUGUAAACCCAGCAAGUUCAAGAAGUGACUCAGUGUUUAUGCCUUAAAAAGAUGGAUUCUCAAAUAUAAACUGAUGCCAUUUACCAUUUUAGAUAAAGUACUUGCAGAACUUGUUGGAAAUUCAGUCUUGUUGGAAACUACUGAUAGGUGAGGUGCUACAUUAGAUUAAAACUGAACAAUUGAAAUCUUUACAAUAAUUAUCAGUAUCACUUGGUUUUAUGACUGGUGCUUUUUUAGUCAGAUGCAGAUAAUCCAAAUUAACAGUAGUCUGAAGGUGUAUUCUUCAUAGAAUAUUUUUUGUGACUACACCCAAGAUGAUUCGUGUGUGAUGCUUUCCAUAAUUGAACGGUAGAUUUUGUUGUGAAGAAUAACAUUCCUGUUAUUAGCCAACUUAUUCAGUUUUUAGCACCUUUCCUGUGAAAUGUAAAUUUGACAAGUCUAUAAACAUCCAUAGGAAAUGGCAAAUACUUAGUAUGAGUGCCUGGUUUAUACAAAAAUAAAAGUGUAAUAAAUUACAAACCUUUCGUUUUCACAAGUGUCUGAGUAAUUAAUUGUACCACUUUUCACACUAGCUCAAUUUGAAUUCUAGUUUUAAUUCUGAAAGAAUCUUUGUUAACAGAUCUAUCAGGAAAAUGUAAUGCUGUCCUCAUUCUCCCUAAAUCCACUUUUAUUUGACAUUUUAGGGAAAUCUGACUUAAAUUUUCAUUGCAUUUUUGCCAGUUAUGUACAUGUUACAUUUUUAUGAAUACACAUUGUGCUACAAAAAGGUUAAGUGUUGUUUUCCAUGUUGUUAUAAAUUAAAACUUUUACCAUGAAUUCAGCAGAUAAAUCCAUUCUUAAAGUUGACAGGUCUGUUGUUUCCACUAUAAAUCUACGUAUAUUCUUAAAAAAAAUUGUGUUUGACACACAGUAUAUAUUUAGUGGUGGCACUAGCUGUGGCAUUACUAUUCAUUUGAAAUCCUGACCAUCUAUGCAGUUUUCUUCCGUCAUCUAAUUGUGACAUAAGUGCUCAAUUUACAAGAAAUUUUGAACUUCUGUCUGCUUUCUUUGAAUUUGUACUGCAAUCAAUCUUGACUUAAGAAAAUUAAACCCUACGAACUGUUGGCCA